rnacentral:rRNA from 1 species
GACGAACGCUGGCGGCGUGCUUAACACAUGCAAGUCGAACGGAAAGGCCCUGCUUUUGUGGGGUGCUCGAGUGGCGAACGGGUGAGUAACACGUGAGUAACCUGCCCUUGACUUUGGUAUAACUUCAGGCAACUGGGGCUAAUACCGGAUAGGAGCUCCUGCUGCAUGGUGGGGGUUGGAAAGUUUCGGCGGUUGGGGAUGGACUCGCGGCUUAUCAGCUUGUUGGUGGGGUAGUGGCUUACCAAGGCUUUGACGGGUAGCCGGCCUGAGAGGGUGACCGGCCACAUGGGGACUGAGAUACGGCCCAGACUCCUACGGGAGGCAGCAGGGGGGAAUAUGGCACAAUGGGCGGAAGCCUGAUGCAGCAACGCCGCGUGCGGGAUGACGGCCUUCGGGUUGUAAACAGCUUUAGCCUGUGACGAAGCGGGAGUGACGGUAAUGGGUAAAGAAGCACCGGCUAACUACGUG